rnacentral:rRNA from 2 species
GCUCCUUUAAGUUAGCGGCGGACGGGUGAGUAACACGUGGGCAACCUGCCUGUAAGACUGGGAUAACUUCGGGAAACCGGAGCUAAUACCGGAUAACAUAUAAGACCACAUGGUCUUAUAUUGAAAGAUGGCCUCGGCUAUCACUUACAGAUGGGCCCGCGGCGCAUUAGCUAGUUGGUGAGGUAACGGCUCACCAAGGCAACGAUGCGUAGCCGACCUGAGAGGGUGAUCGGCCACACUGGGACUGAGACACGGCCCAGACUCCUACGGGAGGCAGCAGUAGGGAAUCUUCCGCAAUGGACGAAAGUCUGACGGAGCAACGCCGCGUGAACGAUGAAGGCCUUCGGGUCGUAAAGUUCUGUUGUUAGGGAAGAACAAGUACCGUUCGAAUAGGGCGGUACCUUGACGGUACCUAACCAGAAAGCCACGGCUAACUACGUGCCAGCAGCCGCGGUAAUACGUAGGUGGCAAGCGUUAUCCGGAAUUAUUGGGCGUAAAGCGCGCGCAGGUGGUUUCUUAAGUCUGAUGUGAAAGCCCACGGCUCAACCGUGGAGGGUCAUUGGAAACUGGGGAACUUGAGUGCAGAAGAGGAAAGUGGAAUUCCAAGUGUAGCGGUGAAAUGCGUAGAGAUUUGGAGGAACACCAGUGGCGAAGGCGACUUUCUGGUCUGUAACUGACACUGAGGCGCGAAAGCGUGGGGAGCGAACAGGAUUAGAUACCCUGGUAGUCCACGCCGUAAACGAUGAGUGCUAAGUGUUAGAGGGUUUCCGCCCUUUAGUGCUGCAGCUAACGCAUUAAGCACUCCGCCUGGGGAGUACGGUCGCAAGACUGAAACUCAAAGGAAUUGACG